rnacentral:rRNA from 1 species
AACGAACGCUGGCGGCAGGCUUAACACAUGCAAGUCGAGCGCCCCGCAAGGGGAGCGGCUGACGGGUGAGUAACGCGUGGGAACGUACCUUUUGGUUCGUAACAACUCCGGGAAACUGGAGCUAAUACCGGAUAAGCCCUAACGGGGAAAGAUUUAUCGCCGAAAGAUUGGCCCGCGUCUGAUUAGCUAGUUGGUGAGGUAACGGCUCACCAAGGCGACGAUCAGUAGCUGGUCUGAGAGGAUGAUCAGCCACACUGGGACUGAGACACGGCCCAGACUCAGACGUGAGACAGCAGUAGGGAAUAUUACGCAAUGGGCGAAAGCGAGGCGGAGAAACGGGGCGUGAGUGAUGAAGGUCUUUGGAGCGGAAAACGCUGUUAUUAAGGAAGAAAAAAUGGGCAAGUAACUAUGCACGUCAUGACAGGACCUAAUCAGAAAGCCACGGCUAAGUACAAG